rnacentral:lncRNA from 10 species
GAUUAUGUAUUGCAGGCAUAUGCAAAAAUAAGUUUGCAUAUCCUGAGCAUAUCCGACCUCACCUUUGUUGUGAAUAAAUCACAGACUGUCCUGGAUUCCAGAAGAGUUCCAACCAGUGAAGCUGGCAUUCCAGGAGAAUCCUCUGAUUCUUUUGGCAAAACUGAGUCAAGAACAUAUUGCCAGUUCUUCCUGGGCUCAACUAAAUGUGGAUUCCAUUCACAAUCACUUUUGCUUUGCAUGUUGUGUACGCUUAUGACCAUCAUGUUUAUCAGCAGUUCCAGAGGGCAGCUGCGAGGUUGCUUCCAAAUAUUGCAAUAUGAUUCCAUAAUGUUUUGUAGAAUUUGGAAUCCAUUAUUCUCAUAUUCAAGGACAGGUUUCAGAUUUCAGCAUUGAAAGAUGUCUUCCCAGUUCUUUCAUUGCUUUCAGGGUGCUCAGCUCACAUGGCCUGAGACAGGAAUUGUGCAGCCUCCACAGCCACCUAAACUAUAGACUUUCUAGAGGACUCUACAAAAGCCUGUUUCAUGUGCAGCAUGGUGGAAGAAUACAGUUAACUUUUUCAAUACUAGAACCAUAAAAAUCACUGAAACUAUAUUACCUUUUUGUUUAUCCUAAAAGAGACAAAUAUUCACCCUAUCUAGAAACACAGAACAUCUUCAAAUGCACCUCUGCGUUGUUGAAAAAGGCAUGUUUUGGGGAACUUUAAAGGUGUUGAAUAAUGAAGAAUUCUUUUAUUUAUUCCUUUGAUAAUUCUACUAAAAGUGCAUUUUUUAACAAGAAGACAGUUUCUUUGUUCUUUGUUCAUUAACAUUGCUGUAUUCAACAUAACUUUGAAUCAAAUUAUCCCUUUCACAAAACUGCUCACGUUGUUUCCUGUUCCUUGGCACGAUGAAGCCAUGCAUAUGUAUGACGCGUCACCAAGUGUCAUUUUAGGAAAGACCCUGUUAGUGUGCCUAUGGAGAGAAGCAGAGUUAGAGUAUUGUAGCCAUGGAAGCCACUUUACUUUGCAGCCUUUAGCUUCCUGGAGGGAAUCUGGUGAUGGGAAAGGAAUUCCAUUUUGCAUACUACAUUGUUAGCGUGCAAAUGCUCCACUUAUUUAUAUCAUUCAAUUCAAUCUGGACAUCUUACUUUAAAAAUGUAUAUCUCAGUCCCUCUUUGAAGAAAAAUAUGAUGAAAAUAUAUGAAUUAGAGCUCACAAUUUUACAUUAUUUGUAGAUCAUAAUAACGAUCUUGGCAUUUGUAUUUACCUUACAUAGAGAUGGGAAAACAUUUUGGAAGGUUUUUUGGAGCAAUAGGAGAGGGGAAUGAAAUAUCCCAUUAAAACAGGAAGGACAUUGCUGUCACCUAAUCAGACAGCCUCAGGACUACCAGCAGAUGGUGCAACAACCUAUUUAAUCCUCAGCAUUAUCAGAAAAUAACCAAGAAUGGCAUCUUUCUUUGCUAAUUAAUUCUGAAUACUCCUAAAAAAUUAUGACUUUAAUGAUAAUAGCAUUUAAAACGAUAACCAUAGAAUCUGUAAUAAUUUUUUAAUAAUUAUACAUAAUAUCUGACUUUUUGAACUAAAAGAGACUUUAGAACUCUCUGGUCCAAGCCUUCUGUUUAACAGCUGAGGAAACUCAAGUUCUUAAGUUUAAACUUCAACCACCAGCUAAGGAGGGUCGUGAUGAGUCUUGGUCAUAUGACAGAACCCAUCGCUCAUUGAUUCAGCAACAUUAUCCCUCAGCAAAUACGAUUUCUAGCCCAAUAAUCAAAAUUUGAUGGGGUGGCGGAUGGCAUUUGAUCAUCCAAGUUAAGAUUUUUCAGCAGAUGUUUAUCUGUGGAGACUCUUCUAUUGUAAGAACAUUCAUAGUUUUAGAAAAGAGGCAUUUUCUGGGAGAACAUGCUCUCCUGUCCUCUCUGUUUCCAGCUGCAAACUAACGUGUCAUUUUGCCAAAUGCUUCCUGUCUAGCUUCUGGCUAUUUCUGAGAGAGAGAGAGAAGGUGGGGGCAGGGGGAGAAAGAGAGAGAGAGAGAGAGAUUUUUUUUUACACAUUUGCUUUGUACUAGGAAAAUAUUUCUUAUACAGUCAACAAUAGCAUAUUAAUGGGGAUGAUUUAAGGAGCCCAAGCUUCUAUUCUGUUGCCAGAAUGCCAACGGGAAUGUAUGCUACUUUUCAAAAAAUAGGUGUUGACAAUAGCCUGCAGUAUUGCACUGUAGUCAAAGAAGAGUGCUGAAAGCUUCAGUUCAUAAAAAUGCUUGAUUCAUCAAAAAUAAUCACCUCACCUGAUAAUUGAAAGCUACAGAGAAUUAUUAUGCAGCCGUGGACUCUCAAAAAUUUAUUCAUUUUUGGUAAUUAACAUUAUUUCUUCUUGAUGAUGUUGCUAAAUGGCUUGAACCCAGUCUGAAGAACCAUGCAUGAUCAUUUAUGCUGAAAAGAAAAGAAAUUAGAAGCUUUUGUUGCACAGAAUGGUGGAUAAAGAUUGCGAAUUUGCACAGCUAUAAAGCUUACUAAUUAAAGACUACAAACACAAAGAGAGCAAGCCUUGUGAUGACUGCACAAUAACGAGGAUUCAGAUACAACGUGGUCGCCACCUGACGCCCACCUCCACAAAAAGCCAUUCUCAAAAGGAGAGAGACAUUCAUAUCCAGAAGAGGGAGUCGGCUGUAGGGUAGAGAUGUUCGUCUGAAGAUUUCAAAGCCCACUGCUGAUUUAAGGUCAUUCACAUUCAGCCAUGAAGCUGCUCUGAAGACACAGGAACUGCAUAGCUCCCUACUGGGAAUGUCAAGGGCUGUGAAAGGUCUAAGGUUUUAUCCUACUUGCAACCAACAAGCUAUGCAGCCACAGUUUUAUGGAUGCUGUCAAAAGACAUGACACUCCUGGCAUGCAGUUUAGGCUGCUAACAACAGCAUGAGGGCAACCUGCUGUGGUGACCUAAGCUAUGACACCCCACCCCAAGUCCGGGAUGCAGCUAACUGAGCAAACUGCAUGAACUGGGAGGCGGCCGACCAUUGUUCACGCCUCUCCUUCGCGUAUGUGUUUUCUACUGUUCUUGCACUGUAAAGGCAGAGGUUGCAUCGGGCCCUUAUGCAAAGCCCCAAAUAAUUACUGGCUGACUCUUCUCAGGGAACAUUUGCUAACCCUGUCACAAGCCAUAAGGUUCCACCACAGAUUGCCCUGUGGCUCUCUCGUUACGUUUCUGUGUGGACGUUUCCACAUGGUCUGAGGCAUUCAUCCAAGAAGAGCAGGAUGUAUUAGUGACUGCACAGAUUCUGCCUUGGCCCACAAAGAGGACAUCCAGGGCAGUCCUGGUCAUCUGUAAUAACAUUGCCCAGUGAGUUGAGGCUGACCUGAGUACUGACUUGGGUUGAGUUGGUGUCACUGAUCACUUCAGCCAAAGAUGGGACAUUUCUUAGCACCUGUUCUGAUUGGCUGACUUCUAUGGUCAGGAUAACGGCUCUCAGGAUGCGUAUAACUGCCAAGUCUCUCCGGGAAGCUUCCCUGGGUUACCAAGGAAUCCUCAUGUCUGAGAGAGCUCCACCAUCAUCCAAGGGCCACACGGAGUUUCUUGCAAUGCUUCAAGGUCUCCUGUAAUAACUCCUAUGAUAGAAGUCACUGUGUUUUGGGGAGGUAGACUGCAGCAUGCAGUUUUGACAGCAUGACCAAGGUCAUUGUUCAGGUCUGAUUAUUCAAAUUCAAAAAACUGCAACCUCAGGCAUAAAAGAUUAAGGAUGGAGCCCAAGUCUCUGGGUCCCCAAGGGGGACUGAAGCACAUACUCACCCAUCUGAAUAUGCUGGAGAACAGGAAGGAGAGACUCAAGCUUGUCUGGGUCUGUUGGAUACAGACUCUCCCAUCUCCACCCCAUCAGGUCCUAUGGAGGCCCAAGUUCAGCUGAUGAAGUUAAGGGAGUGCUCAGUGCAGAAGGGUGGGAGGGCACUUGGGGCAUUUUGGGGUCCUGUUUUUGUUGCUUCUGCAUCUGAUACAGCAGGAAUUGAAGUAUUGCACACUUGUCCUUCCCAUUUCCAAGUGCUGCCUUCCCAUCAGUAAGAGCCACAGUUAGAGAGGGACCAACAGGAGGAUAACUCCCACAUGCUUAGCAUUCCAAUAAUGGAACACUAGGCAUAAAUUGAUAAGAUGCUUUCAAUGCAAUCAGUACUCUGCCAGGAUUCACUAAGUAGAGAAUGACUAAAUAUUUACCCAUCUCCUAACAAAAAUGCACAACUGAGGACAGAUGUUUUGCACUUUUAUGUGUCUACGGACUGUGUAAGAGGAUUUGGCUGGGUCAUCAUCUUCUUCUUCUUCUUAGACUGGUUGAUGGUGACCGUUCAUUGAUCCAAUAUGGUAAAGUCAUGUCCUGGUCUGUGUUCUUCGGGGUCCACAACCCUCUUUAACAGCCUGUUGUAAGGUUCUCGACCACGUCACUGUCUAGCUAAACCAUUCUGCAUUUCAGUAGGUAAACCAGCAGGAGGGCUUAAAAACCACAUUGCCCUGUCCACAUCCCUAUUUCUGAUUCUUUUCUGGCCUGCGAUCCUACAUCUCUAUCCUCACUUUAAACUGUUUUCCUCUUUUCUUCUCCUUUUUCCUGACCUCCUUUAUGUUUUUCAUUUCUCCUCCAUCUGAAUAUACCAAACCAUCCUUUUGCUUCCUCUUUUCUCUUCAUUAAUUAUUCUAGGGGCUAUUUUUUUUAUUAGGAAGAUGUAUUAUUUUAACAUGCUUUAUAAAGUUAGUGGCAUUAAGGAAUUAAUGUCCUUGGAAACUCAUACAUGUUCAGCUUCUAGAAACCCCUGAUUCCAAGGAGCAAAAACAUGCCAUCUCUGACAGUGUCCACAAGAACAAUACCAGAUCAGACGAUAAAGCCAACACACAGCAUAGCCAAUGGCCACACAUCCAGAAAACACUCUCAACAAAUUUAACCCUUCAGUAUUCACUGUAGCCAAUAUAUAUUCAAUAUAUAUAGCUGACUUUGUUUUUAUAUUUGAUGAAGUCCUGCUAUUUGAAAUAAAAUAAUCAAACCAACAACAACAACAACAAAAACCCCAUACAUGGUGAUAGCAUAUGUGAGGCAGUAGCAAUUUCUCCAUCUUUUCUGUCCUGUCUUUCCUGUUCUUCGUUCCCAUGCUAAGAAGGGAUGGAUAUAUCUCGGAGAUUACACAGGUUCUAGUCAAAGACUUCAUUGUGAACGUUUGUUUCACAUUUUCCCUGGAUAAGGACUAAUUAAAAGUUUGGAAAAGUAUACCUUUUUUUUUUUUUUUUUUUGCAAACUUACCCAUAUUAUGUGCUUUUUCUUGAUACAGCUGCUAAUCUUUGCUGUAUAUGUAGUGUUAGGAAGUCUACUUUAAUACACACACACACGUUUAAUGAGGUAAAAUAUGCAUAACAUAAUUACCAUUUUAACAAUUUUUAAGUGUAGAGUUCAGGGGCAAGUACGUUCAUGUUCUUGUGCAACUAUCACCACCAUUUUUUCUCCAGAACCCUUUUUAUCAUCUCAAACUGAAACUCUGCACCCACUGAACAAUAACUCCCCGUUCUCUCCUCCUCCUAGACCCUGGUAACCCCUCAUCUAUUUUCUGUCUCUGUGUAUUUGACUAUUCUAGGUACCACAUUAACGUGGACUUACACAGUAUUCGUCCUUUUGUGACUGGCUUAGUUUAUUUAGCAUAAGAUCCCCAAGGUUCAGCCGGGUGCCGUGGCUCAUGCCUGAAAUCCAAGCACUUUGGGAGGCCAAGGUGGGUGGAUCACCUGAGGUCAGGAGAUUGAGACCAGCCUGGCCAACACGGUGAAACCUCAUCUCUACUAAAAUACAAAAAUUAGCUGGGCCUGGUGGCGGGCGCCUGUAAUCCUAGCUACUAGGUAGGCUGAGGCAGGAGAUUAGCUUGAACCUGGGAGGCGGAGGUUGCAGUGAGCAGAGAUGGGACCACUCCACUCCAGCUUGGGCAACAGAGCAAGACCCUGUCUCAAAAAAAAAAAAUUCAAGGUUCAUCCAUGCUGUGGCAUGUGUCAUAAUUUCAUUUCUUCAUAUUCCUGAAAUACAUUUCUAAAUAUAAAUUUUUCAUUACUGUUUUCAUUUCAAGUUAAGUUUAUCAGAUCCUGUAGUCCAGGGACUUCAGUCUCUUUGAAUUAUGUCUUUCUUGGACAAUUUGGGAGCUCUUUUGAGAAACUGAAUACAAUUUGAAUACACUAAAAUCUGAAUCACACCAUAGAUAACGACAUAGUGUCUUAGUGAGAAGAAAUUUGAUUCUGCUGACUAGGAUACUAAAGUUUGACCUUUAUGGUCAUCUCUUAAUAAAAUAAAAGGAGAGCACUGGGCUAUUAAAUAGUUUAUUCAUGGAUCAUAGGGUGAAUAAGACCUAGAUCCUAGAGGAAAUCCUCCCCACAAAGACACUCAGACUUUUAUUCCUGUCAAUGUUCUUGUGGAUUUCAGGGAGCAAUGAUGGCUAUAAAUCUGCAACUCAUAGCAUUUCAGGCUAAACACAUUCAGCCUUUAUUACCAUUGUUCAUUUGACCUCUUUAUCCAAUUUUUUUCCCACCCACUUGCCAAUAUCACCUUGUUCUUAUGUAGGCUGUGUUUCAGCCAGCUUAAGCCUUACUAACAAAUGAGGUGAAAUCCAUCUGAGGAGGAAGCCGGGGCAUGGUGGAUUGAAAUAGCUUGCCUCAGGAGCAGAAAAUUUGGUGUGGAUCAAGAAAUAGAACUCCAAAGUAUACCUUUCCAGUCAUUGGCUUUAGCUGGAGCCAGCAUCCUUCAAUGAAUCAGUCAACAUUUACCUAUCUGUUCCCCACAGCAGUUUUGCAAAUCGCUUUCAGAAAUCAUUGAACCACUAACAGUUUAUCCACUCUGCAAAAUAUACACAGCUCUUCCCAUAUCCAGGAGGGUUAUCCCUUCUCAGCUGCGUUCAACACUUUUUACAACCCCUGAUUUCAAUAAGCAGAAUACAUCCACCUGCUUAGGGAAAUUACUCUUACCAUAUAAUUGCCUCUUAUGUUGAAAUGUCCAUGAGACCCUCUCAUGAAAUAGGGGACAAGAUAAAGCACAGAUUUUCCCCCAACUCAAACAUGCCUGUCUCAUACAUGUCAUGCCCUUGGAAAUGGCCAACACUGCUCUCUGCCUCCUGUUUAGGGUUAAGGCUUUCACUAUCUCUUGCCACCUCUGAUGAAAUUACUAACAAAUAUAUUAUCCUUACCCUUUGUCUUCUAUUCCAGCACUUCAAAUGCAUCAAAGGUCCAGAGAGAAGCUUCUUCUGGUCACCUUGAUCUUGUGAUGCAAGGCAGGUGGGAGCAAGGGCUCCACCUCUGCAGACACAGAGAUGACGGGGUCGCCAUGCCGGCGUUUUAGUCCCGGUUUCCUCUGCUCGAGUAGUUGGUGGCCUCCUGCCUGUUCCCUAACAUAACUUCACUUUCCUUACCUGCAAAACGAAAUUAGUAUUUCCUCCCUCACAAGGUGCUUGAUGCCCUUCCCCUUGCGUUUACUUUGCCUGAGAGACUAUAUCAUAUCUAUGAUUUUGUGAAUGGGGCAAAAGGAAUUGAGAGUGUCAGGGUAUACCUUAUAAAUAAGCCACUAAAGGUUACAUCCUCAUUCCACAAACUGACCUAAACAAUUUGGCUGUCACUAAUAGAUUAUUUUGGUCAGUUAUGGCAUUUAGAGGGAGAAGAGAGAGUAUAUAUAUAUGGGUGGGGUGUGUGUGUAUGCGUGUGUAUGUGUGUGUUUACAGUCAAAAUACCAAAAUAUAUCUAUGUAUAUAAAUAUAUUUGCUUUCUUUGUUUUUGUUACAAUAAACUUGUACAUACAAUUCUGACACACAUAUUUUCAUAUGUAGGCACAAAAAUAGUCAUACAAAAAAUACCACAAAAGGUAAUAACAAAGUGGAAGAAGACAUAGGAACAGAGAACAAACCAACACAUAGAAAAAGUAACAAACAUGGUAGAUACGAAUCCAGCUAUAUCAAUAAUCGCGUUAAACAUCAAUGGUCUUAAAUAUACUAGACAGUGGAAUAUUAUUCAGCAUUGAAAAGAAAUGACCUAUCAAGCCAUGAAAGACAAGGAGGAACCUUAAAUGCAUGUUACUGAGUGAAAGAAGCCAAUCUGAAAAGGCUGCAUCCUGCAGGAUUCUGACUCUAUGACAUUCUGGAAAAGAACACCAGGAGGACAGCACCAAGAGGGAGCCCUAGUGUGAACUGUGGACUCUGGUUGGUAAUGAUGUGCCUGUGAAGCUUCAUUGUUUGCAGCAAAUGCAUCAGUGUGGUGGGGGAUGUUUCUAAAUUGAUAAUGAAGGACGCCAUAGGUGUAUGGGGGCAGAGAGUUUAUGAGAAAUCUGUACCUUUUGCUCAAUUUUACUGAACAUAAAACUGCUGAAGCCAUCAUUCUCAGCAAACUAACCCAGGAGCAGAAAACCAAACGCCGCAUGUUCUCACUCAUAAGUGGGAGUUGAACAAUGAGAACACAUGGACACAGGGAGGGGAACAUCGUCACACACCGGAGCCUGUCGCAGGGUGGGGAGCUGGGGGAGGGAGAGCAUUAAGACAAAUACCUAAUGCAUGUGGGGCUUAAAACCUAGAUGAUAGGUUGAUAGGUGCAGCAAACCACCAUGGCACAUGUAUACCUAUGUAACAAACCUGCACAUUCUGCACAUGUAUCCCAGAACUUAAAGUAAAAUAUAUUAAAAAAAUUAAAGUCUAUUUUAAAAAAAGAAAAACAAUCAGCUAACCUACUUUGGUAGCUCUGUUCUGCGCUGUCGGGUCUUCCAUCCUAGCGUGUGACACAGGAGGGUUUCGCUGGCAGGACCCGCCCACUGCACAUGCAGGUUCAGGUGACAGAGACCUCUGGAAAGAUGAGGCCCGUGGGAGCAGGGGGCUUCUUGUUGACACUGAAGGUCAGGCUUCAGGAAUGCCAGGGGCUCAUAAAAUCUUUUUCACUGAACAUUAUGCUGAGCAGGAUUCAUUUUACCAGUGAAAAAAUAUUUCUGACAUCCUUUGUGCUUUUUAACAAAGCCUGUGGUGUGGAUUUGCAUGAUUCUUAGAUUGCUGAGUAACCACUUCGGGAGGGUUCUUGAUUAGGGCACUAAAAAUGUUAACACAACACCCGUGGGAUGUAGAUUAAGGUCAACUUGUCCUUGUGCGUCUCUCCUAGUGUUGAUGGCAGAGUCUUAGUAUUUCAGCUGACGAAAUCUCUGCCCAUUCUCUUCCAAUGUUCCCUAAUAAGCUACAGGAGGACAGAGACAAAAGUUUGACUUCAUUAGUAACUUUUGGAAGUUGCCCAAUUUAGGAAAAAGAGUUAAUAAAUCAGGAAUUUUAUAAGAACUUUUUGUUAAAUCUGUAGUUAUUCAAAUCAGCCUCAGCAUGAUAAGACAACACUACAGGUUAUUAUAAAUAGUUGAAAAAGAAAAAUUAAAUUCCAACCAAACAAUUGAUCCUUAACUUUUUUUUUUUUUGAGA